AGGUGGUGACUGUCUUGGGAGAACAUUUCAGAAAUAACUCCAGCUCAGAAUGCUCCAGAAAGCAGGCAGAACAAGGAGCAGUCGGGGAUGGGAGAUCAAGGAUGGAGUUUAUACCUCCCAGAACCAGCAGGAGGAAUCUCUUGAGAGAUGGUCUUAUGAAUGUUCUCUCCAGGAACAUUUGGAAGUUUUGAGGUGUUAUAGAAGCUGGUGAAGUUCUUUCAAAAGCUAUGGAUUCUGUUACUAGAAGCUUGCACAAAUGCAAAAGCCUGGAUGGAUUCCACUUCUUGGAACACAUCUUCCCUGAUGAAGAUCAACCCCAGUUCUAGUUUUAAGAACAAAACUAGUUCACGCUGCUUUAUUUCUAUAUGACCAUCUGCGCAUGUCUUAAGGCAGUGACCAAAGACUACAUACAGCCAUGCUGACUUUUUUCAGUAGCUUCAUCACAAAUUGUCUCUAUGAAUCACCCCCAGCUCCUCAGACAAUAAAAUCUUAGGAUCUGCUCUUCUCCAAAGACCUAGAUCAAUUUCAAUAUUUGUUGAAUAAAUAAACAUACUAAGAUCCUCAGAUACUUAUCUUAGAAACUGUUGUCAGAUUCUUCUGUACUUAUGUUGAUGUUUGUUUGUUUGUUUUGUGGUACCAGGGAUCGAACUCAGGACCUUGAGCUUGUGGGGCAGGCAGUGGCACCACUUAGCUAAAUCCCUGGCUGUAUUUAGGUUGAUGUUUUAAAAAUCCCAUCAGCAGGACUUUGUGUUCAACUUGACAUGAUAUUGACAUUUUCUUGCUUUCUAAUUGACAUGGCAGUCUGUUACUAUCUUUUGGAUCCCUCUCCUGGCCAUGUGCCACCUGUAUCAGACCAUAAAUGAUACUGAAACUGUGCCUGGCUUGGGGAUAGAGGGCUGGAAGGGACAGAUGGGCCCAGCAGGGAAUCACAAGCAUUUAGAACACAGAGAUGGCAUGAAAACUUCCUGAAGUCACCCAGAAUUGAGUACCUGUAUUAGCCAGGCCUAUCCAGAGAAACAGAGCUAAUAGAGCAUGUGUGUAUAUGUGUGUGUGUGUGUGUGUGUGUGUGCAGUCAGCUCUCUAAAUCCUUGGAUUCUGCAUUCAUGGAUUCAAUCAACUAAGAAUCAAAAAGGUAGUUAGGUCCUACAAUAGUUGUGUGUGUGUGUGUGUGUGUGUGUGUGUGCAGUCAGCUCUCUAAAUCCUUGGAUUCUGCAUUCAUGGAUUCAAUCAACUAAGAAUCAAAAAGGUAGUUAGGUCCUACAAUAGUUGUGUGUGUGCGUGCGUGUGUGUGUGUGUGUGUGUGUGUGUGUGGGCAGUCAGCUCUCUAAAUCCUUGGAUUCUACAUUCAUGGAUUCAACUAAGAAUCAAAAAGGUAGUUAGGUCCUACAAUUGUGUGUGUGUGUGUGUGUUUGUACCAAAUACGGACAGAUUAUUUUCUUUGUCAUGAGUCCAUAAACAAUACAGCAUAGCAAUUGUUUACACAGCAUUUACAUUGUUUUAGGUAUUAUAAGUCAUCUUGAGAUGAUUUAAACUAUAUGGGAAGAUGAUGUACAUAGUGUUACACGCAAACACUAUGCUAUUUUAUAUAGGAGAUUUGAUCAUCCAUGGCUUUGGUAUUGGGGAAGGUCCUAGGAACAAUUCACUGAAGACACCAAGGAGAGAAAGAAAUAGAGGGAAAGGGAUGGAAGGAGGAUGAGAGAGAGAGGGAAACAGAGAGAGAGGCUAAUUUUUAGGGACUGGCUCACAUAAUUGUGGAGUCUGGCAAGUCUAAAAUUUGCAGGGUGGGCCAGCAGGCUGGAGACCUAGGAAAGGGUUACAGUUCAAGUCCAAAGACAGUGUGCCAGCAGAAUUCACUCUCCUUCCAGGGAGGGCAAUCUUUUUUCCAUUAAGGAUUUCAACUGAUUGGAUGUGGCCCACUCAGAUUAUGGAAGGUAAGACUAAAAUGUUAAUCUCAUCAAAAA
ensembl:lncRNA